GAGUUUGAUCAUGGCUCAGGAUGAACGCUGGCGGCGUGCCUAACACAUGCAAGUCGAGCGAUUUACUUCGGUAAAGAGCGGCGGACGGGUGAGUAACGCGUGGGUAACCUGCCUCAUACACAUGGAUAACAUACCGAAAGGUAUGCUAAUACAGGAUAAUAUAAGAGAUUCACAUGGAUUUCUUAUCAAAGCUCCGGCGGUAUGAGAUGGACCCGCGUCUGAUUAGCUAGUUGGUAAGGUAAUGGCUUACCAAGGCGACGAUCAGUAGCCGACCUGAGAGGGUGAUCGGCCACAUUGGAACUGAGACACGGUCCAAACCCCUACGGGAGGCAGCAGUGGGGAAUAUUGCACAAUGGGCGAAAGCCUGAUGCAGCAACGCCGCGUGAGUGAUGAAGGCCUUCGGGUCGUAAAACUCUGUCCUCAAGGAAGAUAAUGACGGUACUUGAGGAGGAAGCCCCGGCUAACUACGUGCCAGCAGCCGCGGUAAUAC
rnacentral:rRNA from 1 species